UACAGAGGGGGCAAGCGUUAUUCGGAAUUAUUGGGCGUAAAGGGCGCGUAGGCGGCUGUGCAAGUGGAAGGUGAAAUCCCUCGGCUCAACCGAGGAACUGCCUUUCAAACUGCUUGGCUUGAGUCCGGGAGAGGUGAGUGGAAUUCCCGGUGUAGCGGUGAAAUGCGCAGAUAUCGGGAAGAACACCCGUGGCGAAGGCGGCUCUCUGGGACGGUACUGACGCUGAGACGCGAAAGCGUGGGGAGCAAACAGG
rnacentral:rRNA from 1 species